UGCGGCGUGCUUAACACAUGCAAGUCGAACGGAAAGGCCCUGCUUUUGUGGGGUGCUCGAGUGGCGAACGGGUGAGUAACACGUGAGUAACCUGCCCUUGACUUUGGGAUAACUUCAGGAAACUGGGGCUAAUACCGGAUAGGAGCUCCUGCUGCAUGGUGGGGGUUGGAAAGUUUCGACGGUUGGGGAUGGACUCGCGGCUUAUCAGCUUGUUGGUGGGGUAGUGGCUUACCAAGGCUUUGACGGGUAGCCGGCCUGAGAGGGUGACCGGCCACAUUGGGACUGAGAUACGGCCCAGACUCCUACGGGAGGCAGCAGUGGGGAAUAUUGCACAAUGGGCGGAAGCCUGAUGCAGCAACGCCGCGUGCGGGAUGACGGCCUUCGGGUUGUAAACCGCUUUCGCCUGUGACGAAGCGUGAGUGACGGUAAUGGGUAAAGAAGCACCGGCUAACUACGUGCCAGCAGCCGCGGUGAUACGUAGGGUGCGAGCGUUGUCCGGAUUUAUUGGGCGUAAAGGGCUCGUAGGUGGUUGAUCGCGUCGGAAGUGUAAUCUUGGGGCUUAACCCUGAGCGUGCUUUCGAUACGGGUUGACUUGAGGAAGGUAGGGGAGAAUGGAAUUCCUGGUGGAGCGGUGGAAUGCGCAGGUAUCAGGAGGAACACCAGUGGCGAAGGCGGUUCUCUGGGCCUUUCCUGACGCUGAGGAGCGAAAGCGUGGGGAGCGAACAGGCUUAGAUACCCUGGUAGUCCACGCUGUAAACGGUGGGUACUAGGUGUGGGGUCCAUUCCACGGGUUCCGUGCCGUAGCUAACGCUUUAAGUACCCCGCCUGGGGAGUACGGCCGCAGGGCUAAAACUCAAAGGAAUUGACGGGGCCCCGCACAAGCGGCGGAGCAUGCGGAUUAAUUCGAUGCAACGCGUAGAACCUUACCUGGGUUUGACAUGGAUCGGGAGUGCUCAGAGAUGGGUGUGCCUCUUUUGGGGUCGGUUCACAGGUGGUGCAUGGCUGUCGUCAGCUCGUGUCGUGAGAUGUUGGGUUAAGUCCCGCAACGAGCGCAACCCUUGUUCACUGUUGCCAGCACGUUAUGGUGGGGACUCAGUGGAGACCGCCGGGGUCAACUCGGAGGAAGGUGGGGAUGACGUCAAGUCAUCAUGCCCCUUAUGUCCAGGGCUUCACGCAUGCUACAAUGGCUGGUACAGAGAGUGGCGAGCCUGUGAGGGUGAGCGAAUCUCGGAAAGCCGGUCUCAGUUCGGAUUGGGGUCUGCAACUCGACCUCAUGAAGUCGGAGUCGCUAGUAAUCGCAGAUCAGCAACGCUGCGGUGAAUACGUUCCCGGGGCUUGUACACACCGCCCGUCAAGUCAUGAAAGUUGGUAACACCCGAAGCCGGUGGCCUAACCGUUGUGGGGGAGCCGUCGAAGGUGGGACUGGUGAUUA
rnacentral:rRNA from 1 species